UCUUCAUAAUUUCUUGUAGGCGUUUAAACACUUAACUUAACCGUUACGUAUCACUAAAACGAACAAUCGUGUCUUUGAAGUCCUUCUCUAUACAUGCUUAACCCUAACGUUGUCACGUUAAAUUUCCGUUGGACAAAGAAAAAAAUGAUGCAAGGAAAGCUCGAACAAUAAGAAAAACGUCUUAUGCGAGAAUACAUGGAGUGUAUAAAAAAACAGAUUAUGUGCGUUUUGAAUAAUCGCUUCAUGGUUGAUAUGACAUGUAGGUCAAGUGUUGCCUCUGUUGACAAAACGAAACUGUGCUGUGAUGAUUUGUGUGGAGAUGUCAUUUUUGUUUUCUUGCUUGACUAAGAAAUCAACAAUAUCUUAUAAAUAAAAUAGGUUGAGACUUACACUGUCGCACUUUAUCACUGAUGCGAUAAACAGAAAUGUUUUAAACAUUGAGGACUAGAGCCAAACAACAAGUACAAGAGAACUUUACUUAUUUGUCGCGAGUUUAGUUUAGAGUUUAGUCGCGAUCCUAUAUCUGUAAACUUGUACAGAAAGAUGGUCAGCCCUUUCUUGUGUUUUGCGUCACACGGGCUAAUGACGUCAUUUGUUAGGCGCUUUCGCGAAGACGAAGUUUAAUAGUAACAAAGGGAACUGGAAUGUCGUCUGCGUUCUCUCUCUCUCUCUCUCUCUCUCUUUCUCUCUCUAAAGCCGUCAAGAGUAGUCUGUUUAUUUUGGCUUAUAGUUCGCUAUUCAUUUCCAAAACCUCGUCUAUUCUAUACUAGUUGCGUCAUUGACUAAGUCAAAACGUCCUCUAAUGACGAAACAAAUAACAAAUUUCUAAUCGUGCCAUAACACAUUGCUGAUCUGUCGUCUUCGAAUUUGUCAUCUUUUUUACUCCUUGAUCUGUUGUUACAUCGGGUAAACAUGUGCUAUGUACUAUGAAAUCGAGUUGACAAAUUAGUUCAAAUAAUAUUUAGAAAGAUGAAUACCUUUAUCUAUUGUUGUUUAUAAUAUUUAUAUUCAUGAGUGAUACAUCAUCUGAGUUCAAGCUCUUUAUUGUUCAGACUCAGGAUAAAAAGUCUGACAGUGUUUCGUAGUGACGAUACUUGUAAUUAGAACGUGAACUUAUAUUUGAAAGUGUACAAAAGCAAAUUACUGAGACAAAGUGAACUAUGAAAAUCCUCGUAAAAAGGCAGAAAAUUAAUACGAACAAUAGAACUGUAUUAAUCUUGAACAUUCUUACCUUGUACAGUUAACCACAGGAGAAAAUGUCUGACAUUGUGCUAAAUUUCUUUGUGAAGCUUUUCUUACUGAUGACGUGCUUUGCACUACACUUGAUAAAUAGCUCAUCAAUCUUUACAACACUAUUAGGCAAUGACAAUGUUUCGUUGAACUGCUGCUCUAAUUACCUUAUGGAUGAUGUGCAAGUAGCCAACUGUUCCAACUUGAACUGGACAUUUGUGGACCUUCGAUGUGUGCCAGUGACCACACAAGUGUUGUUACUGGACAGAAAUAAUCUGACUACCUUGACCAAUGGCUCUUUUCAAACACUCACCUCUCUCCGGCAACUUAGCAUUCAGUCUUCGAAUAUUCAUCGAAUUGAGAUUGAUAGCUUUUUAGGUCUCAGCCAGCUACGAAACUUAAACUUAGAAAACAAUAAAUUCAGAGGUGACAACACAUCUUUACAUCCGGAAACAUUUAGACAUGUUACAAAUUUGAAAUAACUUCUUAUUGGAAAGAAUCAGAACAUAUCUAAAAACUUGAAAGAUGCUUUCGUUUAUUUACAGAACCUGUCAACCCUGUCGAUGGAUGGUUCUGAAAAAUUACAAAUAGGAAGGGAAUUCUCAAAUUUGACCCAACUGAACAACCUUACUUUGUAUUGCUCAAAAGUAACGAACGUAACAAACGAAAGUUUUAUAGGCUUGUGGAACUCUAGCUUAAAAACAUUAAGUUUAAUUGAUUUUGAUAACUUGCAAUUUGAUCCAUAUGAUAUGGAUCAAGAUACUUCGCUUUUCAGUGAUGACGCGUUCCAGAAUUUAAACUCGAUGGAAGUCCUCAAAAUUAUUAACUGCAGAAUUGGAAAUAAAAAUAUGGCCAGAAAAUUUAAACAUUUUGUUAAUUCUUCAUUGCCAAGAAAUUAUUAUACCCCUAACUCAACGUAUGAAGAUGGGGUUAUAUUAAAUAAUACUGUUAAAUAUUUAAGGCAGUUAACUCUUUCGCAUUUCUCUUGGAUAGACAGCAAUAUUUUUGCCAUAGCACCAGGAGUUAUAUCCAGUCCACAAUGGAGACAAAACAUCAAAUCUAUUGAUUUCUCCAAAAACAAAUUGGGCUGGCUGGGAUGGAGGUUUCCUUUGUUAGAAGCGGCACGUCUGGAGAAAUUGGAAGAAGUUAUUAUUACAUUUCCAAACCCGGCAAAUGAAAUGUCAUAUCCUUAUCUAGAAGUUGAUAGUGGCAAGGAAAAUGUACAACCCUCAUUAUCUGUACCAACAUAUCUGGAUUUCUACAACAUACGAUCUUUCACUGGGUCAAGGACAACAAAUACAAUGAGUAAAUUUAAGAGUCUAAAAACCAAAGUCAAAUCUAACAAUCUAUCCUCAUCGUUAAAUUAUGAUGGAACUUUACAAGUUCUGCAUUGGAGGAAUGAUUUGCUGAAUAUUGAGCCCUUAAAAAAAAAGGUGGCUUCAGUUUUUGAUCCAACUUCAAAAUCUCAAAUUAGAUCAUUUGCCGCGCUUGGUUCUAUCAGUGAAGGAAGUCUAUUUCGAUUUUUAGAUAAACCUUUUUAUCAUGCGAGUUCUGCUAUUUGGACUUACAGACUGCCACCAUCGCUACGCACAAUUAAAGUUAUGUACACUAUCCAGGGAGAUAACGAAUACAGCAAUCAAAGUGUACAAUUCAUUCAGAUAGAUGGAAAGGCAUCUAACCUUACACAUGUCUAUUUUGUUGGUAACAGUAUAAACCGAGGUACCGGUAGAAUUAAGGGACUGACAAACAUUCAGUUUUGUGACUUUUCCAAAACUGCUGUUAUAGUUGAGCCCUAUUUUUUCGACGACUUUCCCACCUUGAGAUACCUAAUAUUGAGAUCCAUGAUGAACGAAGAUUUCUUUCAACGUGUCAGCAUCGACAGAAUCAUUCAGGACAUGCCAGAACUGAGAUAUUUAGAUCUUACAGACAAUAAACUCAAUUUUCUUCCUCCAAAUUUAUUUUCCAGAAACUCUCACAUUACUCAUGUGAUAUUGGCUAAAAAUAGAUUUUCCUCUUUUCCUAUCACGAUGGAUCUUGUUCCUAAUUUAAAAACUCUUGAUUUGUCUGGAAACGCUCUCAGCUAUCUAACGGAAAAAGAUUUGACGUCUCUUACAAAACACUCGGAAAAUGUUCCAUUUUUUUAUUUAGCUCUGGCUGAAAAUAAUAUUGUCUGUGUGUGUUCUCAGAUUAAAUUUAUGAUUUGGCUUAACAUUAGUGACUUUCUGGAUAACAAGGGAAAUUACACAUGCACAUCUCAGGAUGGACAACUUAUUUCAACUGAUUUAUUGUUACAAGAUGUUUCUGGAUUGUACAGACAAUGUUUUGGCUAGUAUUUGGAAGACGAUCUAAGAGUCUCUACAUUCAUCCAUCAUCGUGACCUGACUCCUGGCUACACUGACCAACAGAUGUUUGAGGCCAUGAGAGACAGUUGGAGGAUUCUUUUACUAAUCACAGAACAUUUUUUGAACCACUACGACCUCUCGGACAUUAUCAUGAAGUUUUCGAGAUCUGAGUGUGACAGAUGGCAGACGGACAUUUUGCACAGACCAGAAUAGCGGCUAUUCCCCUUACUGGGCCACUACUUUACUAUUAAUAGUAUUGCUGGGUAUUAAAGCUGUAUUUUUCUAUUAUUUAUUCAAACAGUUUGUUACUUUGUCGAAAUAAGGUUAGAAAUUUUUUAAAUUACUAUUAUAAGUAUAUCAAUCAGUGAUAUUUUUAUUUUUUUUUAACAACAAUUAUAUCAACUAAUUCUGUCUGGUAAAAAAAAAUUUGUACACGUUAUUGCUCCCAUACCUAAUCUCGGAUCAAGUUAAAAUUUUGCACCAUAUUUUCUUUACCUUACAGAAGAAAAAUCAAUUAAAAACAAUUAACCAAUCAGUUCAUUAACUAUUGUUUAGUGAUUAUUUUUUUCUGGUAUUAAAUAAAGGAAAAAAAUUGCAAUUACCAGAUGUGGUGGUUAAAAAGCAAAAACAAUGGCUAUGUUUGACUAGUCCGUUUCGUUUCUUUGAUUAAAAAGUUGAAUCACAAAUUGGGCCGGAAGUGGCUUUUUUCCUUAUAUAUCUUUGCAUUUUUCAGUUCUCUUUUUAAAUUAAACUGACAUUAUUAUGCUAUGAUUUUAAAUGUGCCUGAUAGAGAGAAAAAAUUCUGCACAAAAAUACGGGUAGUUGGAAUCAAACCCGAUAGAGGCUAUAAAAAUAAAAGACCUGAAAAUAGCGCGUGAAACUACACAUUUACAGUACUUUAUUUGAUGAGUAUUUUAUCCAAGAUCUGUGUUGUUUUUUUAGGACUAGCUUAUUUCAAGUACCCGGCAUUUUCCGAUACGCAAUUUCAUACACAAAAUAAUUGUUGAAAAAAUUGUAGUGAUUUUAAACUUUAAAUGAUUAGUUAAAAAGCUGUUACUCUAAUAAAUUUUGAAUAUUAUUUUGUUAUGAAUGUCACUGUCUAUUUUGUGUCUGUUCUAGUUUCUUAAAUUUUUCUUGAGUAAAGGGGUCGUGUUUUUUCCUAAUGGGUAUACCUGAUUUCUUCAAGUAGCCUUUGUAAAAUAUUGGUCCUAAAUAAUGCUAUGUUCAUAAACGAAAAAUCGCAAGGCUGCAUUAUGAUGAAUGUACGUGUUAGUUCAAUAUAUUUUAUAUUACUAUGUAACUAAAAAUAACUGUAUAAAUAGACGUAAGUUUUUUUUUUUUUCUGUUAGACAAAGUCAUAUGGCAAAUUUAUUGUUAAUAUCCUUAUUCUAAAAAGGAAUAAUAAAUAGAAUCAUACAGUAAAAAUA